rnacentral:sRNA from 1 species
AUCAUCUUGGCCGGACUUAUUAACCAACACCGGGAUGCUGCCCAACAGGCCGCGCAGGAACAGCUGGGCGCGCUGCGCGUUGUUCUUGUUGGUGAAUGACAGCGCGUUCGGUCAAUCAGCGGUGGGGGUGAGGUUGGCGGGGGGGAGGUUGGUGUAAUUCGUCAAGUUGUCCCCUGAAGUGGCUUCUUGAACGCUUGUUUUCACCUGACCGUUUUGAUCAACUUUAUCAGCCUGAAGCCCAUCAGGAUUCCCCGCGGAAGUAUUUGUACCUGAAGAACUGCCCUGCCCACUCCCACUGCCCGUAGCACUCGUGAACUUGGUGUCAUUGGCAUUGCCGGUUGAACCACUUGUAGUCUUAUCAUUCCUUCACCCCGCCCCCGUUCAGAGCUGGAGGUUGGCUUGGUCGAGGGUGGGUCAUUUGGGAAUAUUGUUCCCCGUAGUCGUCGUCUGACUGCCCCCGAGGGUGCCCUGGACAUUCGCUUUGAGGCCAACGCCGACAUUCGAAAACGUCGGGAGAAAGGAACGCGAACCACUUGUGUUCGUACUAGUUCCGCUGGACGACCCCGCGCUGGUUUGAGGCGCGGUUAUAUCAUCCACACACCGGUGGUUAUUCCCAUACCUGUACCCAUUCCCAAUCCAGGGAAUAUAGUCAAACACCUGGUCGAGCACCGACCCCGCGAGGUUGAACCCGGUGGAGAAACGGGAAAGCGUGGGGGAGAAGUGCUAUAUAGUAUUAGAGUAAUUCUACUGCUUUAAUUCAAAACCUGAUUUUCGCCACACUAGGGUCACUUUGUCUUGCUGUGGUACGCGUUUUAGCCAGUGCUUAAAGUAGUUUGCACUAGCACAAAAAGCUUUGCCACUGUGGAUUAAACUCAAACCCUUUUGAUCUAAUUCCACUGUUACACGAUCCACAGGUUCAAACAGUAAAACCUCAUCUGGUUGCAUUGCUCCUAGUUGUUCCUCUUCUAUCGUAAAGUUAAAGCUCCUAAUGGCUUGUAAAUCAUUAAAGUGAAAGAAGUCAUGGUCACCAUUAAAGCUAAAGUGCACGAGGUCAUACCGGUUCAAGAAGUUUUCUUGAACCAGUUCCAAUAAGCUUUGGUAGGGUCGCACACUCGCUUUACGUUUGCUAGCGGAAAACAGAUCGAGUAAGUUAGGUAAUAACCAAAACACCCCGCCCAACCAGUUCACUUUAAUCUUCUUGCUUAGUAUCUUGUCCAUAGUAAGCAUCUUUACCAUGUUUGCGGUUAUAGUGCUUUUGUUGUAACGCUGGGUUUGCUUCUUUCAUGUGGGGAUUGAUCAUUUGGGUAUAUAAGGCCAUUUGGGCCACUUGUUCUAAAGUUAACGCCCGGUCCACUGCAUCCUUGCCAUUCUUAUUGGACCAAACAAACGAACCGUGUUCUUUGACUAAGAUGGCCGCACAAGCAUUGACAUCAACCUGGUUGUUUUUGAGGUGUUCCAGAAUGACUAAACCAGUAUUAUGUUCAUAAGCUCCAUUAAUUUCACUGUCACUUAAAGCCCUAGUACACGGGAUUGGUCCAAAGAAGUUAUCAGCAUGGGUAGUACCAAGACAAGGAAUCGGCUUAUCGGCUUGAGCAAACGAUGUCGCGAAAGUAGAGUGGGUGUGCACAAUAGCUUUAAUAUCUGGACAAUGUUUGUACAUUAACGCAUGGGUUGGGGUAUCACUUGAUGGUUUGAGGCCGUUGGUAUCUAGAACAUUGUUGUCCAAAUCGACCACUACCAUAUCUUGGGCACGCAUCUUGUCAUAGCUCACACCACUUGGUUUAAUGACAAAGAACUGACGGUUCGGGGCAAUCAUCGAAACAUUACCCCAAGUGUGGAUGACUAAGCCAUAUUUGGGUAGUAAUAAAUUCGUUUGAAAAACCUGUUCUUUGAGGUCAUUUAUCAUUUUUUGAUCCAUGGCUGAUUCUAAAAAUAGUUGCCAGCUUUACAACUGUUAAUGGCAAAUUAUCCAGUAGCUUACACAUUAUUAGGGUUAUUUCAAUACACUUAAACCAU